AUGGAUUUCUCCGCCGGGCGUGCACGGGCCGAGAAUUUCAAUCCGGGCGGCUCCGCCGUUUCCUAAACUCGAGGCGUCCAGGGAGAGGGCGUUACACACACACUCGCCGGAGCGCUCGGGCCCUGGGAAUCGGCAAACGCUGCGGGUUCCAGCCCCGCGACUCAGGCCGGGCGAAGAUUAGAGUCACCGCCUCAGUUCCUCCAUCUGUAAAGUGGGACCCAGGAGGGUCGGACCCCCAGGGGUGUGGCUGGCGGCAGCGUAGGUCUUCGGGGCUGCGGACUCCCGGCCCCCGGGACCCCCCUGUCCCGCUGUGGAAACUGGCACGGGGACCGGAGGGCGGAUCCCCCGGGCACUUGCCGAGGCCACUGACCCAGGUCUGGAUGUUCCCCGAGGCCCAAGGUCACCACUGGGCCCCCCCGGGGACUGACGAGAGGCCUCUGGCGGGAAAAGGGGCUGGCUCAGGCAGGCAGCAGGCCCCAGAACCCCCCGCACACGCGGGCACAGGAAGCCCCAGCAAUGCCCCUCCCUCCAAUUUCUCAACCCGUGAUGGGAAAAGAAGAGAAAAGGAAGAAAGAUUUCCUCCAAAGCUUCACUGUGGCAGAAUUCCGCUCUGAGGUCCUUACCCGCCUCCAGGCAGCCCUCCCUGCUCGCCGCUCACCACGGGCACAGGGCACAAAUUGUGUCCUUCUUCUGCUCUAAACUCUGCUGUGGCUCCCCAGUGCCCUCAGGAGAAAAACCAAACUCCUCCCUGCGGCCCAUGAAGCCCUCAGCAGGCUUGGCAUCCCCUGCUCCAGCCACACCAGCUGCCCGAAGGACACACCAGGCUCCAGGUGGCCCCCAGCCCUUUGCAUUGGCUGCUCCAUGAGAAACCUGGCUCCUUCUCGCCCUUCUGAACUCAGCUCAAAGGACCCCUCCUCCAGGAAGCCCUCCUGCCUGCCCCCUUAGACAUUUCCAAGACAGAGAGAGACAGAGAGACGGGGAGAUAACCAGCUCUUUCAAGCUCACGUCCUGUAGGCUCCCCGAGGGGGCCAGGAUGUGAACAGAUCUUCCAGGAGACACCAAGCAGCCUCAGUGUCCAUUGAUGGAUCCGGGCCCUCCCUUCAAGCCUUUUCCCAUCCCCCCUCCACCUCCUGCACCGAGACCCCAGCAUGAAGCUUCCUCGGGCCUCACCGACCUCUGCUAAGUCCAGGAGACGCUGUGAGCACCCGAGGGUAGGGCCUGAGGCUCCCUGCCCCCACCUGGGCUGGCACCUGGGAGAGGAGGGUUCCCCUCAGCAGUUAGCUGUGGGCUGGCUGUGCGCCCCUUGCCAAGCUCCUGGGACACGGGCUGAGCAGAGCCCAGGGUGCCCCAGCCCCUUCCCGAGUCCCUGCUGGGCCCGUGUCGCCCACUGAUGGGGAGAUGCCCAAGUUCUGUGACCCCGGGGGCAGGAUGGUGAGGCGGCCCCUGGGGACCCAGAGUCCUGCCCUGCCAGGGCCUCCUGCACCCUCAACCCCAAACCCAGAAAAGUCAGGCGGAGCCCAAGGCCAGAGCAGGCCAGUCACAGCUGGGAGGCGGGGGGCCCAGGGGCCAGGAAGGCCGGGAUGGAGCCCUCGGCCCAUCGCCCUGCACAGCCGCCCCUGCGCUGCCUCUGUCUCCCCAUGUCUCUCUGUCUCUCUCCGACUUGCUGUAUCUCUGUAUCCCUCUGUCUCUCUGUGUCUCUUUCUCUGUCUCUGUCCGACUCGAUCUAUCUCUGUCUCCCUCUGUCUCUCUGUCUCUUUCUCUGUCUCCUUCCCUCUCUGUCUCUGUUUAUCUCUAUUUCUGUCUCUCCCUCUCUCUGUUUCCCUCUGUCUCUGUCUUUGUCUCUCUGUUUUUGUCUGUCUCCCCCAUCUCUGUCUCUCUGUCUCCCUCUGUCUCUGUCUCUCUGUCUCUGUCUCCUUCUGUCUCUGUCACUGUC
rnacentral:lncRNA from 1 species